GACGAACGCUGGCGGCGUGCUUAACACAUACAAGUCGAACGGAAAGGCCCUGCUUUUGUGGGGUGCUCGAGUGGCGAACGGGUGAGUAACACGUGAGUAACCUGCCCUUGACUUUGGGAUAACUUCAGGAAACUGGGGCUAAUACCGGAUAGGAGCUCCUGCUGCAUGGUGGGGGUUGGAAAGUUUCGGCGGUUGGGGAUGGACUCGCGGCUUAUCAGCUUGUUGGUGGGGUAGUGGCUUACCAAGGCUUUGACGGGUAGCCGGCCUGAGAGGGUGACCGGCCACAUUGGGACUGAGAUACGGCCCAGACUCCUACAGGAGGCAGCAGUGGGGAAUAUUGCACAAUGGGCGGAAGCCUGAUGCAGCAACGCCGCGUGCGGGAUGACGGCCUUCGGGUUGUAAACCGCUUUCGCCUGUGACGAAGCGUGAGUGACGGUAAUGGGUAAAGAAGCACCGGCUAACUACGUG
rnacentral:rRNA from 1 species